rnacentral:lncRNA from 1 species
CUCCGGCUUACUUAACAAUUAAUGCGCAUGGUCUCCGCAGACCUCCGGCUUACUCAACAAUUAAUGCGCAUGGUCUCCGCAGACCUCCGGCUUACUCAACAAUUAAUGCGCAUGGUCUCCGCAGACCUCCGGUUUACUCAACAAUUAAUGCGCGUGCCUCCUGCUAUCUACGGAUCUCAAGCCCUCCACGGCAAAUCUGCUCGGCAGCGUUUGAUCAGCCAUGACAACUCCUUGGCUCCGGCCUGAUCUGCUACGGCAAGGCAUUAAUUCGCACAAUUGCGUAUUAAUUUACACGACAUGCUCAAUCAUACGGUAACUUCGCCCCGUCAUAUCACAGGUAAUCCAGUACCCCACUAUAAAAGGGGAACCCUCCUAUCUUAGUGGGGGUUGGACUCUAAAACUCAGGAAUACACAUCUCCUUCUUUCUUCUACACAUUAAGCCCCCUCUGACUUAAGCAUUGGAGGGCCGGCGCCGGAAACCCCGACCACCGGCUUGCUGCAGGUCUCCCGGAGGACGCCGCUUGCCGACGGACCGCCACUUGCCAUUCCAGCAACGGAGCC